AGAGAGAGACAUGCGCGCAUAUCAAUAAGCGGAGGAAAAGAAACUAACAAGGAUUCCCCUAGUAACGGCGAGUGAAGCGGGAAGAGCUCAAAUUUGAAAUCUUAAAGGGUUUCCCUUUACGAAUUGUAGUUUAAAGAAGUGUUUUCUGUUGAGGUUUUGGUAAAAGUUCUUUGGAAUAGGACAAUCAUAGAGGGUGAGAAUCCCGUAUUUGACCUUUACUUUCAACUUUGUGAUACACUUUCAAAGAGUCGGAUUGUUUGGGAAUGCAGUCCAAAAUGGGUGGUAAAUUUCAUCUAAAGCUAAAUAUUGGCGAGAGACCGAUAGCGAACAAGUACCGUGAGGGAAAGAUGAAAAGAACUUUGAAAAGAGAGUUAAACAGUACGUGAAAUUGUCAAAAGGGAAGCGUUUGACACCAGUGUUGUUUUUCUGAAAAUCAAUUAAAGAACUGUUUAUGCUAAGUUGUUUAGACUUUAUCAGCUAACUGUUUAGUUUUGAGCUUUUCUUUAAUGCACUUUUCAGUUAACAAGUCAACAUCAAUUUCUUUUGCUGUAAAAAAGCUUGAGGAAGGUGGCUUGAGAUUCGUCUUAAGUGUUUAUAGCCUCUUGCCUAUGCAGUCGGAGAGAUUGAGGUCUGCAGCGUAGAUCCUUCGGGGCUAAAUGCAUUUGUGCUAAGUUAUAGCAUUUUAUAGACAACUUGUUGACUAUGAUUUGUCUUGUAGCUUACUCGCUUAUGUUAUUUUACCUACGCUUAGGAUGUUGAAGACUCUACAGAGAUA
rnacentral:rRNA from 1 species